CAAGCGCGGGCGUUUAUAAGCCGCCGCCCCGCCAGCCGUAGCGUACAUCGCUCCGAAGCUUUGAAGUGGUGUGUGGACCCCCGCACCUCCAGGGCACCGGUCAGGAUGGCAUCGGAUGAGGGAAAGCUCUUUGUCGGUGGGCUGAGUUUUGACACCAACGAGCAGUCACUGGAACAGGUGUUCUCUAAAUAUGGACAGAUCUCGGAAGUUGUUGUGGUGAAAGACAGAGAGACACAGAGAUCCAGAGGGUUUGGCUUUGUAACUUUUGAAAAUAUAGAUGAUGCUAAAGAUGCUAUGAUGGCCAUGAAUGGAAAGUCUGUAGAUGGACGUCAGAUCAGAGUUGACCAGGCUGGAAAAUCCUCAGAGAACAGAUCCCGUGGGUACAGAGGGGGCUCCUCGGGGGGCAGAGGCUUCUUCCGUGGGGGCAGAGGUCGGGGCCGUGGCUUCUCCAGAGAUCUGGUGUCUGUUCAAGGAGGUGGAGACAGAGGGUAUGGUGGGAGCAGAUUUGAUUCCAGAAGUGGAGGAUACAAUGGCUCCAGAGACUACUAUAAUAGCAGGAGUCAAGGUGGCUAUGGGGACAGGUCUUCAGGAGGGUCCUACAGAGACAGCUAUGACAGUUACGGUAAGUGCUGCUUCAAACGGGAAGGCUGAGUAUCAACACUGUAGGAACUCUCUUAAAAAAAAAAAAACACCUUCUGACCCUGUGCUGGAGUCUGGAAAGACUGUAAGGCUCAGUUGGACUGUACCACUGUUGCUGUUCUUGCCCCUAAGAACCAAUCUGCCAGGCUUUUGGACGUGGUUGUGCCGGUUUUAAAACGUUUCUAAUUUGUAAUGCAUGUGUAGGAGUUGCUUGGAUCUUAAGGCAAAGCAAGUUUUUAAAAAAAAAAAACAAAACCAAAAAUAAGUUCCUCCAGCUUGAGGCUAAGACCAAACUCAGAUGCCCUAACAGAAAUCUAAUCAAGGGUGGGGGAGUUCUCUUACGGUGUAGCUAGCACUAGCUUCUGAAAUAAUGCAAGGGACUAAAAUGCUGGAACUUGUCUAUGCUUCAGUGCCUUUACAAUUGUGCCUGCUUCUUGUCCUCAGCUACACACAACGAGUAAAAAUCCUUCCUGACUCAAGAUCGUCCUUCCAAUGGCUGUAUUUAUAAAGAUUUUUGGAGCUUCGCUGAAAUGGUUAUUGUGUAGUACAUCUACUUGUAUUUCCACUUUUGUAGUAAUAUCAGUUCUAAUCUUGUCAAACACAGCCUGACAGCUUCUGAGACAAUACGGUCAGAUUAGACUUUUCUUUAAGAAAGCUCUCAAGCUUUCAAGUGUUUUUAAUCUUCUUUUUGAAAGCACUUCAGAUUUUAUUUUAUCCUCCAGGAUGAGCCAAGCUGGUUUUUUUUUUUUGUUGUUGUUGUUGGUUUGUUUUUUAAAGUUGUGAAGUUGGGGCCCCAAUUCAGUUUCUUUUGAGAUAGAAAGGACCUUUUAAUUCAAUGUUCACUGGAAGCUGAACAAGCUGUGGACUUUUUUUUUUUUUUUUUUAAGUGCAUUACCUUCGUCUUUUGUAACAUUCCUUUAGUGUAGCAAGGUAGGAAUGCAGCCUGGGUACAGAUUGGAAGGCAAACCACCUUGAUAUAUCUAAAGAGAACUUGCUUGUAUGUUCAACCUGCAUAUAACGGUAUUUUUACUGUUGUAAUGAUGUAAAAUACCCAGAAAAUAGACUUGCAAACUUACCAUAAAAGAGGUUCUUGAAAAUGUUUAUUUAUAUUGUCCUUUUUUACUGGAAGAAAAUGCAUAUUCCAUUGAUAUUGUAUUUGAAGUGGUAAAGGAUUCUUGUAUACAGUUUUCUUUGGCUUUACGAAGCCUAUUAAAAGACCGUCUGAAAUGAACUCUGCUCCUGACAUUUACAUUUCAUUGCACAACACAACCCUGGAAGAUGGAAGAACAGCCUGAGUGAGAAGGGAUGCCAGAGAAGACUGUAGUGCUAGUGUGAGAUGAAUUGUAAACCAGAUUAAUUGGCCAGCUGCUAGAAUUGAAUCUCCAGUCGGUCUUGACGUGUGAAUCUGUCAACAUGCUUUAUGUAAGAACAGCCAAACUUGUCUAGAGGCAGAGGACAAAGCAACCAGGAUGUUGUAGUACUCAAAAAGCUGAAAAGCCAGAAGUGGAGGGAAUGCUGCUGCUAGGUAGGAUAAUUGAUGUUUCCUGCAAAUAACUGCAAUUACAUUGCAAAGCUGCUGUGGUGAGGAAUCAGUGUGCUUUAGUACCUGGAGUAGUUACUGGCUUGCCAGGGGUGUGAAUGGCAGGUAAAUUGUGAUUAGCUAGCUUUGUCAUUGCCUUACAAGUUCUAAGAAUUCUUUGCUAGCAUAUGGAAACUGCAGUGUCCUUGGAGAAAAGAAGUGUUGUGCCUCCAACAGAAACCUCUGAGACGAAAGCUGCUCUCUUGGCUAGUUCAUAUGUGGAAAUAGUCCUGUAAUUCGAGGUAACUCCUUUUGCUCAUGUCCGCAUCCUUCCUCUUGUUGAGAGCUCAUUUGAAAGUCUUAAUGUACCUGUGAAAUAUUCCUUUUGACAAUUUUGGUCAACUGGUGGAAAAAAAUUGUAACCCAUGCCGUAUGCAACCUUUGGCUUGUGGCACAACUUGAGUUCCACAGAUCAGAGUUGGGCAUGCAGUCAUGUCUUGCUAGUAGGUAUGGAAGCAAGAUGGGAAAAGAAUUCCCUGACUUGAUAUGUGUUCAUCUAUUGAGAAUCUUCCUAGACUUCAUUAAGUUGCUCACUUUUAAUUGUAGCUUUCUUUGCCAUCCUACUUGUUGCCAUUAACUUUUUCCCAUAGCCCACACUUCCUAAGCAGCCAUGUCAAAGUGGUUAAACUCUCUGCUUAGGGAUCAAAUGAUACCUUGGCUGGCGUUUCAAAGGCAUCAGCCAGCCCUGGAACAGUUUUCCCAGACUGUGCUUCUGUGAUGUGAUGGGUUCAGAGAAUGGCUUGUGAAACCCUGUAUCUGAUGUGACUUGUCUCGGGGGGGGAGGUGGGUGGCAAAGGUGAAAAGCUCUUGUUUGAUAUUUUUAUUAAUGCCUCUGUGCUUUGGCAGGCUGAAGAGGAGACCUCACACAGAAGCUGAGCAGGGAUCCUGAGGAAGGGGAGUGUUGAUUCCAAAGAGGAAGGACCAAGGCAUGAGUUUGCCAGCCAGCAAUGAGAAGACCCAAGAAGGACUGGAGUGGUGCAGAGGAAGAGCUGUGGGCAGUGGUGUUAAUGGUUUUAUAGAGGUUGAUUGAAUUCAGUCAGCUGAGCUAGAAUAAAAUACUGGAAUGUGGAAAAAAA